UACAGAGGGGGCAAGCGUUGUUCGGAAUUACUGGGCGUAAAGGGCGCGUAGGCGGCCCGCUAAGUCGAACGUGAAAUCCCCGGGCUCAACCCGGGAACUGCGUCCGAUACUGGUGGGCUUGAAUCCGGGAGAGGGAUGCGGAAUUCCAGGUGUAGCGGUGAAAUGCGUAGAUAUUGGGAGGAACACCAGUGGCGAAGGCGGCUCACUGGACCGGAACUGACGCUGAGGCGCGAAAGCGUGGGGAGCAAACAGG
rnacentral:rRNA from 1 species